rnacentral:rRNA from 1 species
AGAGUUUGAUUAUGGCUCAGGAUGAACGCUAGCUACAGGCUUAACACAUGCAAGUCGAGGGGCAUCAGGGAGAAAGCUUGCUUCUUGCUGGCGACCGGCGCACGGGUGAGUAACGCGUAUCCAACCCUUCCCCCCAGUAGGGCAUAGCCCGGCGAAAGUCGGAUUAAUACCCUAUGUUGUGUCAUGAGGACAUCUGAAUAACACCAAAGAUUUAUCGCUGGGGGAUGGGGAUGCGUCCGAUUAGGUUGUUGGCGGGGUAACGGCCCACCAAGCCCGCGAUCGGUAGGGGUUCUGAGAGGAAGGUCCCCCACACUGGUACUGAGACACGGACCAGACUCCUACGGGAGGCAGCAGUGAGGAAUAUUGGUCAGUGGGCGAGAGCCUGAACCAGCCAAAAGUAGCGUGCAGGACGACGGCCCUAUGGGUUGUAAACUGCUUUUAUGCGGGGAUAAAGUGACGUACGUGUACGUUUUUGUAGGUACCGCAUGAAUAAGGACCGGCUAAUUCCGUGCCAGCCGCCGC